UGGCUGAAUGGUAAAGUGUUUGGCCUCCAAACCAAGGUCCCGGGUUCGAAUCCUGG
rnacentral:tRNA from 1 species